rnacentral:rRNA from 1 species
GAUGAACGCUGGCGGCGUGCCUAAUACAUGCAAGUCGAGCGAACGGACGAGAAGCUUGCUUCUCUGAUGUUAGCGGCGGACGGGUGAGUAACACGUGGAUAACCUACUUAUAAGACUGGGAUAACUUCGGGAAACCGUAGCUAAUACCGGAUAAUAUUUUGAACCGCAUGGUUCAAAAGUGAAAGACGGUCUUGCUGUCACUUAUAGCUGGAUCCGCGCUGCAUUAGCUAGUUGGUAAGGUAACGGCUUACCAAGGCAACGAUGCAUAGCCGACCUGAGAGGGUGAUCGGCCACACUGGAACUGAGACACGGUCCAGACUCCUACGGGAGGCAGCAGUAGGGAAUCUUCCGCAAUGGGCGAAAGCCUGACGGAGCAACGCCGCGUGAGUGAUGAAGGUCUUCGGAUCGUAAAACUCUGUUAUUAGGGAAGAACAUAUGUGUAAGUAACUGUGCACAUCUUGACGGUACCUAAUCAGAAAGCCACGGCUAACUACGUG